rnacentral:rRNA from 1 species
AUGUGCAUCCCAAAGAAGAGGGGAGGUUUGGGGUUCAGAGACCUACACAGUUUCAAUCUUGCUUUAUUAGCAAAACAGUGUUGGCGACUACUCCAGAAUCCUGAAUCUUUGUGCGCACAGGUUCUUAGGGCAAAAUAUUAUCCUGAUGGUAACAUUCUUAAUGCGGGACCAAAGAAAGGAUCCUCUUUUACUUGGUAGAGCAUUGUGAUGGGCAUACAAACCUUUAAGAGAGGAUGUAUUUGGCGAGUUGGCAGAGGCUCACAUAUAAAUAUUUGGAAUGAUCCCUAGAUUCCAACGAGUGAGUCACGAAAAGUUAUCACACCUAGAGGAGCUACUAUUUUGGGGAGAGUAGAAGAACUGAUAGACCCACAUUCAGGCCAGUGGGACGAAGAGCUUUUGCGGUCAGUUUUCAACCCCGUGGAUGUUCACAGAAUUUUGCAAAUCCCACUUCGGGUGGAGAUAAUGGAAGACUUCAUAGCGUGGCACCACACAAAAUCUGGUUAGUUUUCGGUUAGAUCAGCAUACCAUGUGGAGUUUAAUCAUCAAUACGGAAAACAAUGGGAUAGGAAUGAUGGGCGGGGAAGUCACCGCAUAUAUGAUAUACGGAAGUAUAUAUGGAGGAUGUGGGUUCCUGGAAAAAUCAAACACUUUACUUGGAAAGUUCUCAGGGGCGUCCUACCAUGUCGAGGAACAUUGGCGGGGAGGCACAUCCCAACGACAGCGCAAUGUCCAAUCUGUGUUGUAGGUAUGGAGGACUCCCAACACUGCUUGUUUACAUGCCACAGGGCUCUGAAAGUUUGGACUCAGCUUGGGGUAUGA